rnacentral:lncRNA from 13 species
UCGCAGCAAAAGGUGGCGCUAAAAAGUAUUAACUUAAGGGGGCUGAAUAAUUUUGCACGCCCAAUUUUUCAGUUUUUGAUUUGUUAAAAAAGUUUGAAAUAUCCAAUAAAUGUCGUUCCACUUCAUGAUUGUGUCCCACUUGUUGUUGAUUCUUCACAAAAAAAUACAGUUUUAUAUCUUUAUGUUUGAAGCCUGAAAUGUGGCAAAAGGUCGCAAAGUUCAAGGGGGCCGAAUACUUUCGCAAGGCACUGUAACAGCAAAGGGGGGACCAACUCCAUAUUAAUGCCCAUUAUUUUGAAAUGAGAUGUUCGACGAGCAGGUGUCCACAUACUUUUGGUCAUGUAGUGUAUAUUGAUGUCAGAUUGACAUGAUACUAUUCCAGCUUCUCUAAACAAUAAACCGAUUGAGGUUUCACCAAUAAUAGUCUAUAACCUAAAAAUAAUUACAAAGAUUGAAUCAGGCAACCAUAUUAGGUAUUGAAAAGAAUAAAGACAAAGACAGAGUGGAAUGAGAGACAGAUCUCAGACGCUGAGCUGAAAGAUGGAGUUUACAUCUUCAGAAAAGCAGGAAACAGUGUCAAGAGCGCAAGAUUGCUGUAAUUGAUCUGCCCAUUCGCUUGCGUCAGUAUUCGAUGAGAGACGAAAUAGAAAGUAAAGCACCUCCUAUCUUUGCCAUCAGGGGGUUUAAAUCAGAAAGAGCGAGAGAGAGAUGCAGUAAAAAGAGGAGGACCUGGCUAAACAGCACAUCACGCAAAUGGUAAAAUGCUAUUAACCCACUAUACAAGGACUCUAGCGUCAAUGUCUUUUUUUACAAGUGUUACAUGCGGGCAUAUGUAAAUCCGCAAAAUCACAACGGAUCUGGGGAAGUUAGCUUAAGCAUCUGUCCCUGCAGAAUGAUGACUCCUCAAUUAGAAGCAUCAGGGAGUUUUUUGUUUUUGUUGGUGGCUUUGGGUCCGGGUGCCGCUGUCGAAGCAACCGGGGAUGCCUCAGCUGGCUCGUCAGGCUCCCUUGCCUCAGCUGGCUCCAGAGGCUCACAAGCCUCGGUUGGCUCCAGAGGCUCACAAGCCUUGGUUGGCUCAUCAGGCUCCCACGCCAUGCCUCAGCCCGCUCCACAGGCUCCCACGCCUCGGCCGGCUCGUCGGGAUCCCACGCCUCGGCCGGCUCGUUGGGCUCCCAUGCCUCGCCGGCCUGUCGGGCUUCCCCAGGUGGGACGCCAGGUGACGCCCCUAGAGGGGGGGUACUGUCUCGUCUGCUCCCGCUCCCGCUCCCCCUCGCUAACGCUCAUGGUCACCAGGCUGCUUAUCAUUACGCACACCUGUCACCAUCGUUACGCGCAUCAGCGCUUCAUCAGACUCACCUGGACUCAUCACGUUAUUAAUUACCUCCCUUAUAUCUGUCACCUCCUCAGUUUCUUUCCCGAGUCGGCAUUAAUGUCGUAAUGUGUCCCUUGUCCAGAUGCUGUUCGUGUUUUGUUUCCUGUCUGUUUAUUCAUUAAAUAUUCACUUGCUGUACUUGCUUCUCGUCUUCCAGCGUCUGUCCUGACAGAUGUAUGAAAGAUGCAUUGUAGGGGUGAGACCCUGAUAAUAAAAAUAAUAAUAAUAAUCAAAAUUAAGGGGUGCUUAUAUAGUCCUGUUUCUCUGUAUGUACAAGUGGGUAAUCACUACAGGUGUGAAAUGGAAAUGUGUUUUUUGAAUAUCUCACUCCCCCUGAGACACCCUCGGAGAGUGGGGUCCCAGCCAGGGGAUCAGCCAUUAUUGACGGCUACUCUGGAGCAAUUAGGGUUAAUUGCCAUGCUUAAGGGCAAAACAGAUUUUAUAUUGUUACUGGCCCAACGCUCCUAACCGCCAGGCUACCUGCCACCCCUGACUCUAUAUCCGCUAACCUUAGCAUGUGUUAGGAAAGUAGUGGGGCAAUCAUCACAUCUUGAUCACUAUAGGGAAUCAUUAAUCAUUUUACCACCACCAAUCGAACCGGAACCAACUCUACAUCAAUGACCCCUGUACCAGAUGUUAAGAAUAUAUUAACGUUUUAACCAUUGACAAUUUUCCAAUCUAGCCUACGCUAUAUUACAAUGACUUUUUUCUGCUAUCAUUUUGGUUGAUGUGAAAUUUUCCAACAUAUCCAAUCGUUUCAAAUCUCAACAUUCAGGGGUAUGGGAGAACUAGGGGUUGUUCAUGUUUGUGGAUG